UACGUAGGGUGCGAGCGUUAAUCGGAAUUACUGGGCGUAAAGCGUGCGCAGGCGGUUCGCCAAGUCAGGUGUGAAAUCCCCGGGCUUAACCUGGGAAUUGCGCUUGAAACUAGCGAGCUUGAGUGUGGCAGAGGGGGGUGGAAUUCCACGUGUAGCAGUGAAAUGCGUAGAUAUGUGGAGGAACAUCAGUGGCGAAGGCGGCUUCCUGGCUUAAAACUGACACUGUGGCGCGAAAGCGUGGGUAGCAAACAGG
rnacentral:rRNA from 1 species